GGCGCCCGAAUAAACGCUCAUGUGAAACCAUGAAAGGUGUUGGUUGCUUAAGACAGCAGGACGGUGGCCAUGGAAGUCGGAAUCCGCUAAGGAGUGUGUAACAACUCACCUGCCGAAGCAACUAGCCCUGAAAAUGGAUGGCGCUGAAGCGUUUUGCCUAUACCCGGCCGCCGGUGGCAGAAGGCGGGUGUCUUCGGGCACUCGCUGCGAAGCCCCGGUGAGUAGGAGGGUCGCGACGGUGAGCGCAGAAGGGUCUGGGCGUGAGCCUGCCUGGAGCCGCCGUCGGUGCAGAUCUUGGUGGUAGUAGCAAAUACUCCAGCGAGGCCCUGGAGGACCGAUGUGGAGAAGGGUUCCGUGUGAACAGCCGUUGCACACGGGUCAGUCGAUCCUAAGCCCUAGGAGAAAUCCGAUGUUGAUGGUCGCGGGAUGUCGUAAACGUA
rnacentral:rRNA from 1 species